rnacentral:rRNA from 1 species
UACGAAGGGGCUAGCGUUGUUCGGAUUUACUGGCGUAAAGCGCACGUAGGCGGAUUGUUAAGUGAGAGGUGAAAUCCCAGAGCUCAACUCUGGAACUGCCUUUCAUACUGGCAAUCUAGAGUCCGGAAGAGGUGAGUGGAACUCCUAGUGUAGAGGUGGAAUUCGUAGAUAUUAGGAAGAACACCAGUGGCGAAGGCGGCUUACUGGUCCGGUACUGACGCUGAGGUGCGAAAGCGUGGGGAGCAAACAGG